rnacentral:misc_RNA from 1 species
GAUGAAGAACGCAGCGAAAUGCGAUACGUAAUGUGAAUUGCAGAAUUCAGUGAAUCAUCGAGUCUUUGAACGCACAUUGCGCCCCCUGGUAUUCCGGGGGGCAUGCCUGUCCGAGCGUCAUUGCUGCCCUCAAGCACGGCUUGUGUGUUGGGCCUCCGCCCCCCGGCUCCCGGGGGGCGGGCCCGAAAGGCAGCGGCGGCACCGCGUCCGGCCCUCGAGCGUAUGGGGCUUCGUCACCCGCUCCGUAGGCCCGGCCGGCGCCCGCCGGCGACCCCCCUCAAUCUUUCCAGGUUGACCUCGGAUCAGGUAGGGAUACCCGCUGAACUUAAGCAUAUCAAUAAGCGGAGGA